rnacentral:rRNA from 1 species
GAUUUCUGGUUCGGCGCACUUGGCCCGUCUCGGUUUACGGGAUUGCGUGCCGGUGUGCGCCAUCCAUCCUUCGGGAAAUACACAGCUACCCUUCACUGGGCCGGUUGUGCUAUCCCGAUCUUUUACUUUGAAAAAAUUAGAGUGUUUAAAGCAGGCUUACGCUAUGAAUACAUUAGCAUGGAAUAAUAAUAUAGGACUUUGGUUCUAUUUUGUUGGUUUCUAGGACUGAAGUAAUGAUUGAUAGGGAUAGUUGGGGGUGCUAGUAUUCAGUGGCCAGAGGUGAAAUUCUUGGAUUCACUGAAGACUAACUACUGCGAAAGCAUU